rnacentral:lncRNA from 1 species
CUCUUGCCUUUAAACUAACAAAAAUUCUAAGGCUUACCUACCCAGGUGUUCGGCCUAAAGCAUCCUCCUAGCGGAUAAUGUAAUAAAAGAACAAGAAAAAGAGCUGGGAGAGAUGAGUUAACAGUACGCAAUCUUUCAUUAAAAUUCCUAAUUUACUACUUUAUCCCACUACCCCCCACAAAACACACAUCAAAAUGACCCACUCCAGUUAUCUACACACACAAAGUAGGGAUUAACGUAGAAGGCAUAUAGGAGAGGAGGAAAAAUGUAGCAUUUGAUAAAACAGAAAUACCAUCCAAGUCCAGAAAUGACAAAUCAAAACAUAAUAAGAGCUAUUUAAAGUCUAUCUAACCAUUCCCAUUAAACUUAUUCUUAAUCCCAUACCAGUAAAAUAUUGAAACUCACUUCGAAUCCCAAGUAUGAUCUCAAGAUUAGCCGUAAGGACGUAUGCUCAAAUAAGGAACCUACACAUUCCAAAUAACUCGAAGGACUUCUAAGGAUUGCUAGGCUGCUAUGUCACCUUCUCGACAUACUGUAAAAGUCCCUGAAAUCUCCUACUCGACCCCUUCCCUUACGAAAAUCCACAGAGAUAUCAUAUGAAAGGACCGUAGUAUCUCAAAUAGUUUCAAAUCUUCAUGAAGGAAUAAGUCUGAUUGCAUGAAUGGACGACAAGAAUUUAACAGUUAGAAUAUUCACAAACCACACCCAUGCAUAGGAAACUGAAUUCGAACGGAAGUAAGCAGAUUCAACUAUGUAUUGAACGUUUUAGAACAUUUAGCUUCCUAUUCACAUGUUGCAAAACCAUGAGAUUAAAGCAACUAGUGUUUAUGUCGGGUACAAAAAUAAAAUUUACUCUCAAAGUUCAUCAUCUAAGAUUUCGUUCAAAAGGUCUUAUUUCAAUCACCUCACUCUGUCUAACCAAAUUGGCCAUGAGAAUGUAAUUUUUUUAGUACCUAACUUAGUUACCAGAUUAUCCUAAGUAAUGGCUUGUUAAUGUUAUUAAGCUGAUGAUUCAAUAUCAAAUAAAAAGUCCCAAAACAACAAAAAUAAUUAUCAGAAGUUUGGAUAAUGAAGAGUAUGACUAAGCCUCAAUGCACCAAGGACCCAAUUCAAGACUCUCGACAUGGGCAACACUGUGAAGAAGUUCCUUCAAAUAGUUACCCUCCUUCUCCAAGUCGUGAUUCCCAAAUUCAUCAGAGCGCAUAUUCAAACACGAUCCAUUUCAAAACUAAUCGUCAAGAAUAUAUGAACUAGUGAACAACCCACAGAUCAUGAAUAUAACAUUUAUGGCUCUUAUCAUAUUUUCAUUCACAAGAAACAGAUUAAAAGAGCUAGAAACGAACCUGAACAAACGCUAACUUUAAUUAAAUCUCGAAAUGAGUACAAGCAGAAGUCGAGCGAUGAACUUAACAGGGAUGGAACAGAACGAAUCCGGAACCACGAACUCUAACCAAAGACGGAAAAUAGAACUUCAAACGAGCACCACCUCGAUCAAACUCCAAUGUUGAAUCCCAAAUCCAAUUUUUUCUGAUUUUCGAACUGAUACGGAAUCUCCAACAAAAUGAAACUCAAGUUUGUUUUUGUAUUUUUUUCCUUUCGAAUUUUUGAAGCAGCGAGGAAAACGAAAACACUAAUGAUUUUUUUUCUGUUUUUAUUUUUCGUCGUGUAUCUGGAAACAAGAAAAUGAAGAUGGAAAAAUCUGAUGAAAACCUCAAGAACCCUAGUUUUUUUUUUCGAAAAAUCCAAUCCCUAACUUCUGUCUCCAAAAACCUCUCAAAUAUAUAUUACACCCUAGAAGCUUCUUCCCUCUUCUCCAAGAGAUUCCUGAACCGUGUGGACCCCAACAAUAAAAAAUCUGAAAAUCAUUUUCACAAAUAAAAAAAUCAGAAAAAUAGAGAUUUAUGGAUGAAAAUUCCAUCCAACGAUUCCUAUUCUUCCAAAGUUAUAUUCAAGGGUUCAAAUUGUGCCUCAUCCAAAACAAAAUAAAUGAAAACGUGUAGAAAUGAUGAACUUUGUAUGAAGUGAGUGACGUGCAGGAAGGAGAAGGGAAAUAGCGGACCAUCGGUGACCAAAUGGGUGAGCUCGGGUAAGGUUUGGGUUGGGUUUGGUGGCAGAAGGUGUGGGAGAGAAGAGGGGUGGCGGCUGGUCUUGUUUGGGGAUUUAGGGUUAGGGUUUUGGGAAAUAAGGUUUUUAUAUGGGGUAUUUAAGAAAUAUGGACCAUUGGAUCAAAGUUAAUAGAUGGCUAGGAUUUGAGGGAAAGAUUGGGGCGGGUCAGCAGGUGGGUUGGCGGGUCUGGGGUGUUGUUGGGCUCAAAUUUUGCCCAAUUUGGUCUUUUUUAAGACAAGGCUAGCCCAAACAUCCACUCUUCUUUUCUUUUCUUUCAUUUUCGUUUUUUCAUCAUUUUUUAAAGCAAAAGAAUAACAAAAUACUAUUUAAUUUUAACUAAACCAAAUCUAUAUUAAAAGUGGAAUUAUAUUUAUAUUUUGUUUUUGUAUUUUCUGAAGAUUAUGUUAAAGUAAAAAUAGAAAAGGAUAGUAAACUUAGACUAUUGUCAUUAUAAGAAAGAUUAGUGAUAUUCAAUUGUAUUAAAACAUAAAAAUAUUUGUAUAACAUGAGAAAUAUUACGAAAGUUAAAAUAUUUUUGUGUUUUCAAAUUUAUGUUCUCUAAAAUUAGAAUUAUAAUUAAUAAUAGAGUAAAGUACUAUAGAAUUAAACUCAAAUAAAUAUCCUAAAAAUGCUAGAACUAUUAAAAGUAAUUAUAAUGCGUAAGUCAAAAAUUACAUGUCUACAGCUACCCCUCUUUGACGGAAAACACAAGGUGUGUUAAGACAAAGAAUAACAAGAUACGAUUUUUGACUUGACCCUUAUUUAGAGAGAUAAUACCCAGAGAAAGAAAAUGUGGCCGAGCCCUGGUCUCGGAGCUGCCUACAUAUCCUUGGCUAUAAAGGAAUCAGGCCACAUUUAGUUCAAAGUGAGAAGAGCGAUGGAGUACCGAGGUGGAGACUCGAGUCGAGUUCCGUCGAGGUUCCAGUUCUCGGUUCCUGCCAUUACAUCAAAAUAAAAUGGAAAAAUUACAGCAAAAUUAAAAGAAAAAUACAAGAUCCUAUCUAUUUCCCUGUCUUGAAACAUCAUUGAAUCUCUACUUGAAAUUCAAAAUGCAACGGAAAAAUGGACCCUGCUCUUCAAGCGGGCUCCUGAUGCUUCUUGAAUUUAUGAGUUGAAGUAACUCUGAAAUUAACUCCCUCGUUCUCCAGGUGGGCGCCUGUUUGCUAAAACUUAAAAUGUAUUCCCUUGUUAUCCAGGUGGGCGCCUGAUUGCAAAAACUUGAAAUGUAUUCCCUUGUAAUCCAGGUGGGUGCCUGAUUGCAAAAACUUGAAAUGUAUUCCCUCGUUAUCCAGGUGGGCGCCUGAUUGCCAAAACAUGAAAUGUAUUCCCUNNNNNNNNNNNNNNNNNNNNNNNNNNNNNNNNNNNNNNNNNNNNNNNNNNNNNNNNNNNNNNNNNNNNNNNNNNNNNNNNNNNNNNNNNNNNNNNNNNNNNNNNNNNNNNNNNNNNNNNNNNNNNNNNNNNNNNNNNNNNNNNNNNNNNNNNNNNNNNNNNNNNNNNNNNNNNNNNNNNNNNNNNNNNNNNNNNNNNNNNNNNNNNNNNNNNNNNNNNNNNNNNNNNNNNNNNNNNNNNNNNNNNNNNNNNNNNNNNNNNNNNNNNNNNNNNNNNNNNNNNNNNNNNNNNNNNNNNNNNNNNNNNNNNNNNNNNNNNNNNNNNNNNNNNNNNNNNNNNNNNNNNNNNNNNNNNNNNNNNNNNNNNNNGCGCCUGAUUGCCAAAACAUGAAAUGGAUUCCCUCGUUAUCCAGGUGGGCGCAUGAUUGCAACAACUUAAAUUUAUUCCCUCGUUAUCCAGGUGGGCGCCUGAUUGCUAAAACAUGAAAUGUAUUCCCUCUUUAUCCAGGUGGGCGCCUGAUUUCAAAGACUUGAAAUGUAUUCCCUCGUUAUUCAGGUGGGCGCCUGAUUGCCAAAACAUGAAAUGUAUUCCCUCGUUAUCCAGGUGGGCGCCUAAUUGCUAAAACAUGAAAUGUAUUCCCUCGUUAUCCAGGUGGGAUCCUGAUUGCAAAGACUUGAAAUGUAUUCCCUCGUUAUCCAGUUGGGCGGCUGAUUGCAGAAACUUGAAAUGUAUUCCCUCGUUAUCCAGAUGGGUGCCUGAUUGCAACACUUGAAAUGUCUUCCCUCGUUAUCCAGGUGGGCACCUGAUUGCAAAAACUUGAAAUGUAUUCCCUCAUUAUCCAGGUGGGCGCCUGAUUUGAAAUGUAUUCCCUCAUUAUCCAAGUGGGUGCCUAAUUGUAAAACUUCAAAUGUAUUCCCUGAUUAUCCAGGUGGGCGCUUGAUUGCAAAACUUGAAAUGUAUUCCCUCGUUAUCCAGGUGGGUGCCUGAUUGCAAAAACUUGAAAUGUAUUCCCUCAUUAUCCAGGUGGGCGCCUGAUUGCAAAACUUGAAAUAUAUUCCCUCAUUAUCCAGGUGGGUGCCUGAUUGCAAAAAUAUGAAAUAUAUUCCCUCUUUAUCAAGGUGCGCGCUUGAUUCCAACAACUUAAAAUGUAUUCCCCGUUAUCCAGAUGGGCGCCUGAUUGAAAAUUUUUUAGAUGUAUUCCCUCGUUAUCCUGGUGGGCACCUGAUUGCAAAGCUUGAAAUAUAUUCCCUCGUUAUCCAGGUGGGCGCUUGAGACUGCAACAAAACAGACAAAACAAAAGAAACUUUUUCUGCACCAGUUUGGGGUUUGCGCAUAUUUGUGAGUGUUAAUCGGAUCAUAUCACCUACAGAACUCUAAGAAUUAAAAACCUAAAUCCCAUUAUCCAGGAGGGUCCUGAGAAUUUGAAAAACCUAAAUCCCAUUAUCCAGGAGGGUUCUGAGAAUUUUAAAAACUGAAUCUCAUUAUCCAUGAGGGUCCUGAGAAUUUUAAAGCUAAAUCCCAUUAUCCAGGAGGGUCCUGAGAAUUUUAAAAACUAAAUCCUAUUAUCCAGGAGGGUCCUAAAAAUUUUAAAAACUAAAUCCCAUUAUCCGGGAGGGUCCUGAAAAUUUUGAAAUUAAAUCCCAUUAUCCAGGAGGGUCCUGAGAACUGAGAGUGAACUUACCUAAGCCACGCUCUCAUCUUGGAGGAUUCUGAACAGAAUUUCUUGCUCCACUGCUUCAGACAAAUAAAAUCUUGUUAGUUUGAAAACGUGGUGGUUAGUUUGCUGCAUCAUUGUUGAGCGUCUACUUCCGCCACUGCCAUGCUUCAUUUUGAUUAGCUGCUUCGGGCUAGUAAGGAAUUGUUUGAUCUUUUGGCUGAGACUAGACCAUGAAACCUCUGCAUGACCUGAGUCCCUCACACUCACUUGUUGCAUUGUAUUUUUAUUUUUAUUUAGAAAGUUGCUGAAUCCUUGUAUUUCCUCAGAAUUCAAGAUUCACUUGAUUUCCUGAACCUUAGUUAUCACCAUAUUGCUUAUUCUAAAUCAUGUCAGUUUUGAUGUGCCUGGCCAGAAUCUCUUUGUGCAACUUAGAAGCUGGUAGUAGGCUUUGAAAUCCUUUCCUGCUUGUUUAACAAGGCUAACUAGGAAGAAACUCGUAAAGAUAGACUCAAGGAGUAAAAUGAAAUGAUUUUUAAUAAAAGGAACAAAUGAGAAUUUGCAACACAGAUUAUUAUGUGAAGAAGAAUGAGAAAGAGAUGAUUUAUCUUAGGGAAGUAGCCAGCUCCAAUGAUCAUCCCAUGCAUUCCAGACUGAUCAGCCUAAUCCGUCCAACCAAUCAUAUUUUUAGUUCAUGCCAUGUCUUCAUACUUCAAAACCGGGCUUUCACUGAUCCAAUUUCUCUUGUAAAGUUAUGAGCCUCAUUCGACGUGUAGUGCCCUAAAAGGGUUUUCACCAACAAGCCUCUCUCAUUUGUUCAUCUCUCAUCUCACCAUCGCCUUAUGGUGCCCGGGAGGGUUUUCACCAAUAAGACUCUCUCAUUUUAAAUUUUCUCUCUUGCACCCACGAACAAAGUGUUACCUAUGAUGCAAAUCAUACCUCUGUCCUGCUUGACCCGACAUCCUCAAAGAUUAAUCGGAAGGUCUUUCUUGGGACCGUAAUGUAGGCUUUUCGACGGGGUUAGAAAGAACGGGUAGCAUGAAGGCUCAAAAUAAAAUAAGAUGAAAAGGGUUUAAAAUUACAACUUUUGGAAUUAGAUCUUUACGAAACCAAAACUUCCGCCCCAUUUUCUUUGGGUCUGGGGAAUUUUAAUUUUUAUUGUGAUGGGACCAAACCGCAAGACUGCUUAUGUAUCCUUAAAAGGAAUCAGGUCGAACGUAGUUCAAACGAAAGUUGUUCGUUCUUGUUGCUCUUUUUUCUUUUCUUUUAUCUCUUUUUUGCUUCUCUUUUUUCUUCUCUCUUUUUUUUCUUUUUUUUUUCUUUUUUUUUUUUGAUUUUCUUCUUUUCUCUUUUUUUUCUUUUUUCAUUUUUCUUAUUUUCACUCAUUCAUCAUCACCUUUAUUCUUUACUUCUGUUGUUGAUUCCAAAAGAGUGGUAUGACAGAAAAUAAAUAAGGAUAAAAAAGGUAGCAAAGGAUGAAAGUGUUUAGGUAGCUGAAUAAAAUGCCUUCGUCAUUUAAACUUUGAAUAUGCCAAGUCCAAAAUACAACUGAAGGUAAGCAAGAAAAUCAUACAUAGUACCUCUUAACUGCAUCAGAAUUGAUGGCCAUAUCUGCACAUUUUCCUUCUAUGUAUGUUAAAUACAAAGCACCAUUGGGCAACACUCUUGUCACAACGAAUGGCUCCUGCCAGUUCGGGGCAAACUUUCCUUUAGCUUCAGGCUAAUGAGGAAGGAUACGUUUCAAUACCAUCUCGCCCACUUCAAAUUUCUGAGGACGCACCUUUUGUUAUAUGCUCUUGCCAUUCUCUUCUGAUACAAUUGACCAUGACACACUGCUGCCAAUCUUUUCUCAUCAAUCAAACUCAACUGCUCGAGCCGGGUUUUAACCCACUCAUCGUCAUCAAUUUCAGCUUCUGCAACGAUCCAAAAGGAAGGAAUCUCAACUUUCGCAGGUAUAACUACCUCAUUUCCAUAUACCAGUAAAUAAGGAGUCACACCUACUGAAGUUAGCUUCUGCAACGAUCCAAAGAGAAGGAAUCUCAACUUCCGCUGGUAUAACUGCCUCAGUUCCAUAUACCAGCAGAUAAGGAGUUGCACCUACUUAAGUGCGAACAGUAGUGUGAUAACCUAGUAAUGGAAAAGGCAACUUUUCAUGCCACUUCCUAGAACCUUGAACCAUCUUGCAAAGUAUCUUCUUUAUGUUCUUAUUGGAGGCCUCAACAGCUCUAUUUUCCUUGGAGCGAUACGGGGUGGAGUUCCGAUGCAUGAUUUGAAUUGUUGGCAUACCUCUUUCAUCAAAUGACUGUUGAAAUUAGCAGCAUUGUCUAUGAUGAUCACCCUGGGAAUUCCGAAUCGACAAAUGAUGUUUGAAUGCACAAAAUUCACCACUGCCUUCUUGGAUACGGACUUGAAAGUUACAGCUUCGACCCACUUGGUAAAGUAAUCAAUGGCCACCAGGAUGAACCUAUGCUCGUUUGAUGCUACUGGCUCAGUUGGCCCAAUAACAUCCAUGCCCCAAGCAACAAAGGGCCAAGGUGCAGACAUUGCAUGCAACUCAGACGGGGGAGAAUGAAUCAAAUCUCCGUGCACUUGGCAUUGAUGACACUUGUGAACAAAGCUAAUACAAUCUCGUUCCAUGGUGAGCCAAUAAUACCUGCUCGAAGUAUCUUCUUUGCCAAGACAUACCCGUUCAUAUGCGGCCUGCAAACUCCAGAAUGCACUUCGGUCAUGAUAGUUGAAGCUUCUUUAGCAUCUAUGCACCUCAGCAGUACUAAAUCCGGAGUCCUCUUGUACAAGAUUCCUCCACUCUAGAAAAAUCCACUGGCCAUAUGCCAUAUGGUUUUCUUUUGGUCACCUAUAGCAUGUAUUGGAUAUAUCCCCGACCUGAUGUAUUCCUUGAUAUCGUGGAACCAAAGCUCGCCAUCGAUUUCCUCUUCCACACAUUACAAUAAGCGUGUUGAUCAUAAACUUGGAUAUACAUAGGGUCAACAUAAGCUUUGUCUGGAUGAUGUAACACUGACGCCUCGGUAGGUAGGGCAUCAGCAAUCUCAUUAUGAAUCAUGGGAAUAUGUCUAAAUUCAACCGACCUGAAUCAUUGACAGAGAUAGUGGAGACACUGUCGGUACGGUAUGAGCUUUAAAUCUCGAGUCUCCCAUUCUCCUUGGAUCUGGUGAACCAACAAACCCCAAUCUCCAGAAGAAGUAUUUCCUGGAUUUCCAUGUCUACAACUAACCUCAAACCCAUAAUGCAUGCUUCGUACUCAGCCAUGUUGUUGGUGCAAUUAAAUCAAAGCUGGGAUGUUACGGGGUAGUGUUGCCUUGUUUCGGAGAUAAGUACAGCCCCUAUUCUGACCCCUUUCAUGUUAGCAGCUCCAUCAAAGAAGAGUUCCAACCUGGCUUUUCAUCGUGCUCAACCUCGUCAAAACACAUGACGUCUUCAUCAGGAAAAUAAGUCUUCAAUGGCUCAUAUUCAUCAUCCAACGGAUUCUCGGCUAGGUGGUCGGCCAAGGCUUGGGCUUUAAUCGCAGUCCUGGUCACAUAGAUGGUGUCAAACUCUGUAACUAGGAUCUGCCACUUUGCCUGUUUUCCCGUGGGCAUAGGCUUCUGAAAGAUAUACUUCAAGGGAUCCAUGCGAGAAAUGAGGUAAGUAGUGUAGGACGAGAGAUAAUGCUUUAACUUUUGUUCCACCCAAGUUAAGGCGCAACAUGUCCUCUCGAGCAGAGUGUACUUAACCUCAUAGGGAGUGAACUUCUUACUGAGAUAAUAGAUUGCUUUCUCCUUCUUCACAGUGAUAUCAUGUUGACCCAACACACAACCAAAAGAAUUAUCCAGGAUUGUCAAAUAAAGAAUUAAAGGUCUUUCAGGCUUAGGGAGUGAACUUCUUACUGAGAUAAUAAAUUGCUUGCUUCUUUUUCCUCGUGACAUCAUGUUGACCCAGCACACAACCGAAAGAAUUAUCCAGGACUAUCAAAUAGAGGAUUAAAGGUCUUCCAGGCUCUGGUGGGACAAGCACCGAUGGAUUCGACAGGUACCUCUUGAUAUUAUCAAAGGCUUCUUCACACUCGUCAGUCCACUUGACCGCAACAUUCUUCUUCAGCAACGUAAGGUUGGGCCCACAAAUUGCCGUGAGCUGAGCAAUGAACCUGCUGAUGUAAUUUAACCUUCAGAGCAAACUCAUCACCUCUUUUUUGUUCUUUGGUGGCGGCAACUAUUCGAUGGCUUUGAUAUUUGAUGAAUCUAACUCAAUACCGUGUCUACUGACCACGAAUCCCAGCAGUUUCCCAUAGGGGACACCAAAUGCACAUUUCGCCGGAUUGAGCUUGAGGUUGUACCUGCGAAGUCUUUGGAAAAACUUCUUCAAGUCCUUCACAUGGUCAGACUGCUUCUUCGACUUUAUGAUCACAUCAUCUACAUAUACCUCAAUCUCCAUAUGUAUCAUGUCAUGAAAUAUGGUGUUCAUCGCCCUCAUGUAGGUUGCCCAAUCAUUUUUCAAACCGAAUGGCAUUACCCGGUAGAUAUAUGUCCCCCAGGGCGUGGUGAACGCCGACUUUUAUGCAUCUUCCUCAUCCAUCAAAAUCUGGUGAUAUCCUGCAUAGCAAUCCACAAAAGACCCAAUCUCAUGCUUGGCACAAUUAUCGAUCAAAAUAUUAAUGUUCGGCAAGAGAAAAUCAUCCUUCGGGCUUGUUUUGUUAAGAUCACGGUAAUAAACACAGACCCUGGUCUUACCAUCCUUCUUCGGUACUGUCACAACAUUUUCUAACCAAUUAGGAUAUCGAGUGACCCGGAUGACCUUCGCAGUAAGCAGCUUUGUGAUUUCUUCCUUGAUCUUCACACUCAUAUCGGUAUUCAACUUUCACAACUUUUGCUUGACAGGAAGGCAUGCUGGGUCAGUCGGCAAUUUAUGAACUACUAGAUCAGUGCUCAGGCCCGGCAUAUCAUCAUAUGACCACACAAAAAAAUCUUUGUACUCAACCAAUGUUCUGAUUAUUUCCUCCUUAACUUGCGGUUCUAAAUGCACACUUAUCUUGGUUUCCCUAACAUCAUCUUGAUCCCCUAGGUUGAUUACUUCAGUUUCACUCAAGUUAGGCUUUGGUUUUUCCUCAAAUUGUUUUAGUUCUUUACUGAUUUCCUCAAAUGCUGCUUCUUCAUCAUAUUCUAUUUCAUCAUCACAUUCUACUUCUUGGAUUGUUAUUUCAGAAUUAGAUUAGCUUUUAAGACUCAGCUGAAAAUUCUUCAUGCAUAUCAUGUCAUUGCAACCAGCAUAUAAAGAACUGUACAAAGAAGAAAAAGAACAAUAUAAACACUAUUAAGAAUAACGAAAAAUGAGAAACCUUUUAAGACUCGACUGAAAAUUCUUCAUGCAUGUCAUGUCAUCGCAACCAGCAUAAAAACUGUACAAAAUAAGAAAAAGAACAAAAUAAACACUACUAAGAAUAACGAAAAACGAGAAAUUGCAUUUCAUUGAAAACAAAAGGGAUAGAAGGGUUUGGAUGUCAAAACAAGAAAAAACUAAAAGUAUGGAUUACAACCCUGGAAUAAACUAGAUAAAAGAAAGUAAAACAAAGCAACUACCACCUAGUGGGGAGAGGAGUAGCUUCCCAAUUUCUAAGCUUCACAUUUGAGCCAACGAGCUGCACAUCUGCUUUACUAGAGCCUUCACCAUUUUCUACCAUGUUGACCUCUUCGAACAUACUUUCGAACCUCUUGAUCAGCUCUUCAUCAACAUCGACCGCGGGUUUUGGAAUUAAGGAUGUUGGAUUUUUUUCAGCUCCUGGCUUGACAAAAGACUUAGAGAUGUGUGGGAUGGGCUUGGGGAGUGUCGUGCCUCAUGUUUCAGAUUUUUAACCCUUUUCACGCCCGUUUCUGUGGGCCUGAAUCCUAAACCAAACGUUCCGGGAUUCCCAUUGGGGCGCACUGGAUGUGUAAUACCUUGUAGAGAUGAGCCCAUACCCUUGCCCGGCAUAAAACCAUUCUUCAACAGUUCGUUCGCAACCAUGACAGACGCGGAGGAUAAUUUAUGACCCCGAAUGCAUUCUCCUUCAGGAAUCUUCUCAACAGACAUUGUUCCAAAAGUUUGAUAGACCCAAGGUCCCUUAUCAUCUUCAGCUUCGAUAAACGGAACAAUUAUGUCAUUACAAACUGACAAGUCCUCAUCACCAUGCACAACUAUUUCUUGCCUGUCCCAUUCAAACUUUACCAUUUGGUGCAAAGAAGAAGGGACUACCUUAGCAUCAUGUAUCCAGGGUCUUCCUAGCAACAUAUUAUAGGAGACAACCACAUCGACAACUUGAAACUCCAUGGUAAAGUCGACAGGCCCUAUCGACAAUUCGAGCAUUAUGUCUCCAACAGCAUCUUUACCUCCCCCAUCAAAGCCUCGAACACACAGUUUGAAUGGAUUCUUUCGGUGCCAGUCUUCAGUUUCUGUAGAGUAGAUAAGGGACAAAUAUUCACACUUGAGCCAUUAUCAACAAAGACUCUUGAGACAACAGAAUCUCCGUACUUCACCAUGAGAUACAGACCUCGAUUGUGUUCUGUACCUCCAAGGGAAGUUCAUUAUCUGAGAAAGUAAUCCUAUUUGCUUCGAAGAUCUUGCCAGCUAUCUUUUCCAAAUAGUUCACUAUGAUCUUAUCAGGAACAUGUGCCUCAUUCAAAAUCUUCAUCAAAACCCUGCGAUGUUCAUCUGAAUGUAUCAGCAAAGACAAUAGAGAGAUCUGAGCUGGUGUAUUCCUUAGCUACUCUAUAAUGGAAUAUUCCGGCACUUUCAUCUUUUUAAAGAAUUCUUCAGCCUCUUCCUCUGUGACUGAUUUCUUUACUGGCAUUUGGAUAUCUUUGGACAUCUUGGCUUUUCUUAGUUCUUCUAGGGUGAAACAGCUCCCAUAUCGAGUCAAUCCUCCAAUUUCAUUAACUUCUUCCUCUAUUUCAUUUCCUUUGUAUGUUACUAUCAUUCGUUUUUAAUUCCACAGAACAGUCUUAGCAUCAACCAUUGGCAGCUGGGUCACUGGUUUAAUGAUGAUAGGGGUGAUAAGAGCCCCUUUCACAACUAUGACAGGCUUACUUGGAAUCCCUCGUACCACCACUUUUGAAAUUUCUGAACUUGCCCCAAUAUUUUUCGACAGCCCUUUCACGAACAACACUGGUGGCUUCGAGCUCGGCUUUUCUGUCACCUUUUCAACUAUCGAGGGCACUGCCUUGGUAAAGUCUUGAGCUUUAACCGAAUUUUUUUACUAGCCCGGAUUAUCAUGACGGACUUAGAAGACUUCUUGGGCUCCCCAUCCUUGUGAACUAUUUCAAUCAUACGCGUCUCCUCAUGGGAUGGCAAAGGGUUUUGAUUGAUGUUCGGCGCAUCUGGGCUUUGGACUACAAUUUUGUUUGUGUCAAUGAGUUCCUGGAUUGCUCGUUUCAAAUGCCAACACUUCUUUAUGUCAUGACUUGGAGCAUCAGAACAAUAGUAUCAUCUUAGGGAAUGAUCGAGAUUCUUUGGAGGGGGAUUAGGUAUCUUUGACUCAAUUGUCCACAAGACGUCCAACUGCUAACCUUUGAAACAUACUAGCAUAGGACUCUCAAAGCGGAGUAAAAGUUUGUUUUCGCUGCUGCCUUUCACUCAUAUACUCUGGCCUUGAUCGAAAGUUUGGACCAGUGGGGUAUUGGUAGGGUUAUGGAGGCGGAUAGGUAUUUUGUGGAGCCGGAUAGGUGGUCUGCGGAGCUGGAGCAUGCCAUUGCAGGUAAGGAGAGGGUUGAGCAUAUGACUGUGCAUGGUGAACAAAGUAUUGGGAUGGCCUGGCUGAGUAUUGGGGGUUUUGUGGGGUAAAGUAAUGUUGAGGUGGAUUAUAUGGAGCUUGGGUGUAGGUUUGAGGUCGAGGUUGAGGAUGGGUGUAUUGAUGAGGUGGACCGCUCGGGCCACGCCAUGAUCCGGAGACAACCAUAGCGAUAUCUUCCUUCUUUUUCUUGCCAAGAAAACUUCCGGUACCACUCUGGAUUGCCUGGGUGGUUGCUUUUAUAGCGGAAUAGCUCAUGAUCUUACUCGACUUGGGCCCUUCUUCCACCAUCUCUCCCAUCUUUAAUACAUCAUUGAAAGACUUACCAGUGGAUGAGAUCAAAUGGCCAUAGUAAGUGGGAUCCAGGGCUCGAAGAAAGUAUUUGUCCAUCUCGUCUUCAUCCAUAGGAGGAUUGACUCGUGCAACCUGCUCUCUCCAUCGAAACCCAUAUUCUCUAAAGCUUUCCCCGGGUUUGUUUGCCAAGUUGGUCAGAGAUAGGCGAUCUGGAACAAUGUCUAUAUUGUACUGAAAUUGCCGAGCAAAGGCCUGAGCCAUAUCAUCCCGAGUAUGCCAUCUACUAGCGUCCUGGCGUGUGUACCAUUCUAAAGCUGCCCCACUCAGACUUUGCCUGAAGUACGCCAUGAGCAAUUCGUCUUUUCCGCCGGCAACUCUCAUUUUGCUGCAAUAACCCCGCAGAUGAGCUACAUGUUCCCCAUGUCCGUCAUACAAGUCAAACUUGGGCAUCUUAACACCGGCAAGCAGUUGGACAUCGGGGAACAAACAUAAAUCCUUAUAGGCUACACUCACUUAGUUACCCAACCGUUGCAUAUUUCUCAAUGAUUGCUCCAAACUUACCUUCCUAAACAUCUCUUCUUGCUCUGCAUUCUUAGGUGGUUUGUCAGUUUCAACAUGAGGCUCAAAUUGAGGAGUGUAAGGGUAAGGAUCUGGGACUUUGAAACUGGGCUCUGGUGCAUAGUAGUGAGUAUCUGGAGCGGGGAAUGCGGGCUCACUAGAGGAUCGAUGGAGGGUGGCUUGUGGAGGGGGUACCAAAAUAGGAGCAGAUGUCGGAGCAGGGUAUGAGGCUGUUUUGGCUGGUAGAGCAUGGAAGGUUUGGAAGGAAGUGCGGGGGUAAUUGUGGUAAGGGGUAAAGCCGGGAGCGUGUUGUGGGGAAAAAUCAAUGGUAUUGGUCAUCUGAGAUUGAGAGAGUGGUGUAAUGGAAGCAUGGUUUUUUAUGUAGUUGGUAGGGAAGGAGGGUGGUAGGUGUCCCUUAAUCAUGGCUUGGUACAUUUCUGCCAUCUGACGCUUCAUCCUCCGGACCUUCUCUUGCAAUUCUGAUGCCGACUCAGCAAUGUCCCUUGGUGGGUCUAUAACUUUAGGGAAGGAGGGUGGAAGGUGUCCCUUAAUCAUGGUUUGGUACAUUUCUACCAAUUGACGCUUCAACCUCUGGACCUCCUCUUGCAAUUCUGAUUCCGACUCAACAAUCUCCCUUGGUGGGUCUACAACUCCAGUGUUUGUUUCCUUGCUAGCCAUAUUGUUUGACGUUACAAACUAACCACCUUCCUGAAAAUUAAACAAAGGUAACAAGGGGCAACAACACAAAACCACCAUGUUAGCGUUAGCGCAUUUAUCAUAUGAUAAUAUCACAUUACGUGCAAUGCACCUAGCAACAAUUAACUGUUCUAAAAUGGCUUUGGGGGUCGCAGGGUCAUAUGGCAUCAUCCCAAUUUGCCUAUUUCAAUCUUUCCUUCUCUUUUUUCUCCAACACCUCUUAUCACUCCUUUCUUUUUUUUCUUUAUUUUAUUUUAUGCAAAAAUAAUUUGACUAUGCAAAAAUAAUUUGAUCGAACCCGAUAUAGAUUGCCUACGUAUCAUGCCCCUGAUGAAUCAGACCAAGCGUAGUUCUGGAAAAAUGACUAAAACGAAUAAACUAAAAUAAAUUUUUUUGGGAUUUUAAUAUUAAAAUACAAAAGGAAGUAGGAUAAUGAAAGACAUGACAGACACGACUAUACUAUGACAGACUCUGAUACUACCUAAAGGACUUAGUACUCCUGGACAAGACAAUAUAAGACAAACUCAAAAUAUCUAAAUAGCAUAACUCCUCAAGCUGCCCCUGAUUGCGACGGUCCUAACUGGGAUGGUCCUAGGUUGUCCGUCAUGCUCAAACUCUGCAACAUGCCUCGUAAAGAGAUACUGAUGCUAGGAACAAGGACCCUGGCGUGCUCCCCCGCAUCUUGACGGCUGACCCUAAACAAAUACUGGCUAUGCUGCUCCACAUUUGCUGCCAAUCCCGAUAACUGAGACUUUAUCAACUCAAGCUUAUCCCAAAGAUCUUGGUCUGAUGCCUCCUCAACAUCAUCUGUCUGAGCUGCCCGCUCCCUAAGUUAUGCCGGCAAUGGAGUGUUGACCCCCAGUGGGACGGACUGUAACCAGAUCAGGUACUCCUGAUUACACUCGGGCCUACCAAUGUCCUUUAUCAAUGUCUUGUUCCUAAACCUCUUUGCAUUUUUCCAGUAUCGCACAUAUUUGAUUUCGUCAGUUGCUGUCUUGCUAAAGUUCAUGACAUGCCUCCAAAGAUUCAAAGUUGGAGGUUCCUUUUGUCUUUUGCCCAACUGCCGCAUUACCCUAAUGGGAAUGUAUGGCCUGACACACUUGAGUCCUAUCAGUAUCAAGAAAGGCUGCAUGAGACAUCCCACCAAGAUCUCAUCUAAGAGUAGCCAAAGGUAGGCCAACAAAACAUUCCCAUUUGUCCUCAAACCAAGGAACUCAAUCCAAGCUGUGACACUUACUAGGUAGAUCAACUUAGGAGAUUUCAUCCUAAGCUAGAUGCAUACCACCCGAUCCCUCAAGGCACGGUCGGUGGGACAAAGCAGGGAAGCGGUGUGCAAAUGCUCCAUCAUCCACAAUUGUAGCAAAAGGUUACUUCCCUACAAAUACCUGACACCUCCCCUAACCUCACUCAGGGCUCUGUACAACUCUGCUAAGAUCAUCAGUACAACGGUAAUGGUUUUAUGUUGCUUCUCAUGAAAUAGUGCCAUUACCACUGACUGCAGGGGGUGCUAAUGUGCCUCUCAUCUAAUGGAAAAUCCAACAAUCCCAACAAAGCAAGGCUGAAAGCCUCAAGGUGGCGUAUUUGCCAUUUUUCCUUGGUUGUGCAGAACUCAUCCCAAAAGACGUCGAAACUAUCCCGUGGUCCAAAUAUAGCAAACAAAUAAUCCAAAGAUAUCCAGGACUGCUCGAGGCAUUUUAAACGCUUGUUAUCUUUCAGACCCAGGUCACUGAGGAAUCUUGUCCUAGAGUGGUCUCGGGGAAGUAUCAUGUCCCUACCUAUAUAGCUUAAACGAGUGAGACCAGACAUUUCCGCCAAGGUAGGAGUCAUCUCACACUCUCCAAAUUUAAUAGUCAAAUUUUGCUUAUUCCAAUAAGUCAGCAUCGCCUCCACUAAGUUUGGGCGAGGUGUGAUAUCAAAAAGGGAAGUGAGGAAAAUUUAAAAGUCAAAUUUUGCGGAUCCCAAUAAGUCAGCAUUGCCUCCACUAAGUCUGGGCGGGGUGUUAUAUCAAGAAGGGAAGUGAGGUGCCCAAUUUAUGCAUUAACUCAUGCUGCUCUAAUGCUGAAAAUAUUUUCCACCACUUGAUCAAUUUCUUAGGAAUCUUUACUACCAUCAACACUUUGGAUCGAAUUAGCGGGCUCCAUACCUGAAUGAAAAGAGCAUGGUUAGCAACUCGUGACACUACAUGACACCACAACAUCUCCUAGCGGACAGAUGCAAGAACAUGAUUUGGCUAUAUUUUGCAAAAUAAUUUAAAUGGUUGUUAGUGCAAACAUGACAAUGAUGACCUCCUAAUGCGUGAACAAUACUUCAUAGAGAAAUUACAUUAUUAUCACAUCCCAAAAAUCGUGACCCUAAAAAAUUACCUUGCAGAAAUGACCCAUUUUUAUAGAAAUGACCGAUAUGGCCUGAAAUGGCUAAAGACGCAAACUCAAAAAGGAACGACCUUAAAUUGCAAUGACACCUAGUUGUGGACUCAAAAUUAUAAGUCAUGAGUUAUUGAACCACUUUUGCGAAAAUAAUCCUAUUUUGCAAGAAUGGCCGAUGUGGCCACAAGUGGCUAGACAUGUAAAAUUUAGCUAAGACCCCGCAAAGCCAAGAACCUAAGAUUAUAGGAAGACCGGAUCCUAUGUGGGUUGCCUACGUAUCUCGCCCCGGGAGACGAAAAUCAGGUUCGCGUAGUUCGGGAAAAUUAAAUAUAGGAUGAGAUUCAAAAAAUACAUCUAAUUUGAAAAAACUAUUUUUGUCUUUUUGAGAAAAAAUAAUGGAAAAUACAACAUCUUUUUGAUGUUCUUUUUCUCUUUUUUUUUUGAAUUUUUGGAAAUGACGGGAAAAUGUAAAAUCUUUUUUUUUUGGACUUUUUGGAAAAUAAUGAGAAAGUGUAAAAUCUUUUUUUAUAUUUUUAUUUUCUACCUUUUUUGUAUUUUUGAAAAAUAAUGAAAGAGCGUAAAAUCUUUUUGGAUUUUUCAUUUUCUACUUUUUUUUUGAAUUUUGGAAAACCAUGAAAGAAAAAUGCGGGUGGGCCCUACUUUCUUCAAUUUUCACCCUUCUUUCCAAACAUUGAUCCGCCAAAUGACCUUUUUACCCUCAAAGAUGCAACAUUUAGCACAUAAGAUGAUUCAGCGUCAUUUUGGGCCACGGGCCCAUUUUGACAAAAUUUGGACAGGCUCCCUACAAAGGGACACGACACCUGGGACCGAGCCCUACUAGGUGUAAAUGACAUGAUGCAAAUAAAAUGACCUAAGGCUGACCUAAGUUUGGGGUUCACUAACAAGGCAAUUCGGGGGAGCGUAUGGUCGAUAGUGGCUGCUUAAACUUUCCACCCACUCCAUACGUCCGACCCCUCCCCCUCCUAAAUUAAGGGUGACUCAACAAAGAGUUCGUGCAUGCGAUGACUGCUCCGAGACUUGUUGCAGAAAGAAUUGACCGGGUAAUGCAUAUAAUGACAGUUAUAAAGCAGUAAACACAUAAAACAAAACUAUAAACACAUAAACAACUAGCAAAUGACAAAACAUAUAACAUAAUAAAAUUGAGCAAAGAUAAAUAAAUAAAACAAAAAUAAAAAAAACAUAAGAAAGCUCAACCAAAUAUGCUAAAAGCCAACAAAAUCGAGUACUAGCUCGAACCCGCGAGCCUCGCCUGCAGAGUCGCCAGGGAUAUCACACCCCUUAUUUUUUAAAACCAACUCUUACUUAAAUCCUCUUUAAUAAAUAAAAAGAUCUUAAUAAAAUCUUGCAAAGGAUUUUCAAUUUUGAAAGUGACAAAAUGGGAUUCAAAAAGAAAAUAACUUCAGAGUCGCCACCUGACAUUUGGAUUUCGCUGUGUCAAGUCACCGUUCUUCUAGAAAUAAUAAUUUUUCUUUCAAAACAAUUUGAACUCUAAAACUAAGUCUACACCAGAUAUAUGGGUAAGGGGGCUUAUUUUACUCGGGGAGAAGGUGUUAGGAACUCCUAAAGUCCCAUGAAGGUCACGGUUGCGUACUCGAUCAAGUUGGCUUUUAAGAUAUUCAAAUUGAGGUAACAACACGCUAAAAAAAGCAAAUAAUCAAAAAGUCUCGAGGUCGUCCCCACCUAAAUGAAAGAAAAUGAGAAGGAAAAGGAAAAGAAAAAUUCUACGCUAACCUAUACUACGACUUCUCCACCGUGUUCGUCAAGACCUCCAAAAUACUUACAUAGUUCUUCGGGGCAUACCACGGAUAAUAAUAUUACAAACUUCACGGGGAAUUCCCAGGAUAAAUUCAAAUAAGGGACAACCUCUUGCCUUUAAACUAACAAAAAUCCUAAAGCUUGCCUACCCGGGUGUUGUCGGCCUAAAGAAUGGUCCUAGCGGAUAAUGUAAUAAAAGAACAAGAAAAAGAGCUGGGAGAGAUGAGUUAACAGUACGCUAUCUUUCUUUAAAAUUCCUAAUUUACUACGUUAUCCCACGACCCCCCCACAAAACAGACAUCAAAAUGACCCACUCCAGUUAUCUACACACACACAGAGUAGGGAUUAACGUAGAAGGUUUAUAGGAGAGGAGGAAAAAUGUAGCAUUUGACAAAACAGAAAUACCAACCAAGUCCAGAAAUGACAAAUCAAAACAUAAUAAGAGCUGUUUAAAGUCUAUCUAACCAUUCCCAUUAAACUUAUUCUUAAUCCCAUACCAGUAAAAUAUUGAAACUCACUUCGAAUCCCAAAAAUGAUCUCAAGAUUAGCCGUAAGGACGUACGCUCAAAUAAGGAACCUACACAUUCCAAAUAACUCUAAGGACUUCUAAGGAUUUCUAGGCUGCUAUGUCACCUUCUCGACAUACUAUAAAAGUCCCUGAAAUCUCCUACUCGACCCAUUUCCUUACGAAAAUCCACAAAGAUAUCAUAUGAAAGGAUCGUAGUAUCACAAAUAGUUUCAAAUCUUCAUGAAGGAGUAAGUCUGAUUGCAUGAAUGGAAGACAUGAAUUUAACAAUUAGAAUACGCACAAACCACACCCACGCAUAGGAAACUGAAUUCGAACGGAUGUAAUCAGAUUCAGCUAUGUAUUGAACGUUUUUAAACAUUGAGCUUCCUUUCACAUGUCGCAACACCAUGAGAUUAAAACAACUAGUGUUCAUGUCGGGUACAAAAAUAAAAUUUAUUCUCACAGUUCAUCAUCUAAGAUUUCGUUCAAAAGGUCUUAUUUCAAUCACCUCACUCUGUCUAACCACAUUGGCCAUGAGAAUGUAAUUCGUUUAGUACCUAACUUAGUUACCAGAUUAUCCUAAGUAAUGGCUUGUUAAUGUUAUUAAGCUGAUGAUUCAACCUCUGAACUUUGGAUAAUGAAGAGUAUGACUAAACCUCAAUGCACCAAGGACCCAAUUCAAGACUCUCGACACGGGCAACACUGUGAAGAAGUUCCUUCAAAUAGUUACACUCCUUCUCCAAGUCGUGAUUCCCAAAUUCAUCAGAGCGCAUAUUCAAACACGAUCCAUUUUAAAACUAAUCGUCAAGAAUAUAUGAACUAGUGAACAGCCCACAUAUCAUGAAUACAACAUUUAUGGCUAUUAUCAUAUCUUCAUUCACAACAAACAGAUUAAAAGAUCUAGAAACGAACAUGAACAAGCGGUAACUUUAAUUAAAUCUCGAAAUGAGUACAAGCUGAAGUCGAGCGAUGAACUUAACAGGGACAGAAUGGAAUGUCGACGAAUGAAUCCGGAACCACGAACUCGAAACAAUGACGGCAAACAGAACUUCAAAUGAGCACCACCUCGAUCAAACUCCAAAGUAGAAUCCCAAAUCCGAUUUUUUUCUGAUUUUCGAACUGAAACAGAAUCUCCAACAAAAUGAAACUCAAGACUGUUUUUGUAUUUUUUCCUUUCAAAUUUUUGAAGCAGCGAGGAAAACAAAAACGCUAAUGAUUCUUUUUGUUUUUAUUUUUCGUCGUGUAUCUGGAAACAAGAAAAUGAAGAUGAAAAAAUCUGAUGAAAACCUCAAGAACCCUAGUUUUUUUUUUUCGAAAAAUCCAACCCCUAACUUCUGCCCCAAAAACCUUCGUCUCCAAAAACCUCUCAAAUAUAUAUCACACCCUAGAAGCUUCUUCCCUCUUCUCCAAAAAAUUCCUGAACCGUGUGGACGCCAACAAUCAAAAAUCUGAAAAUCAUUUUCACAAAUAAAAAAUCGGGAAAAAUGGAGAUUUUUUGACGAAAAUCCAUCCAACUAUUCCCAUUCUUCCCAAGUUUAUUCAAGGGUUCAAAUUUUGCCCCAUCCAAAACAAAAUAAAUGAAGAAACGCGUAGAAAUGAUGAACUUUGUACGAAGUGAGUGACAUGGAGGAAGGAGAAGGGAGGAGAGGGGACCAUUGGUGACCAAACAGGUGAACUAGGGUAAGGAUUGGGUUGGGUUUGGUGGCAGAAGGUGUGGGAGAGAAAAGGGGUGGCGGCUGGUCUUGUUUGGGGAUUUAGGGUUAGAGUUUUGGGAAAUAAG